CCUACGGGAGGCAGCAGUGGGGAAUAUUGCACAAUGGGCGCAAGCCUGAUGCAGCGACGCCGCGUGAGGGAUGACGGCCUUCGGGUUGUAAACCUCUUUCAGCAGGGACGAAGCGCAAGUGACGGUACCUGCAGAAGAAGCACCGGCCAACUACGUGCCAGCAGCCGCGGUAAUACGUAGGGUGCAAGCGUUGUCCGGAAUUACUGGGCGUAAAGAGCUCGUAGGCGGUUUGUCGCGUCGUCUGUGAAAACCAGCAGCUCAACUGUUGGCUUGCAGGCGAUACGGGCAGACUUGAGUAUUUCAGGGGAGACUGGAAUUCCUGGUGUAGCGGUGAAAUGCGCAGAUAUCAGGAGGAACACCGGUGGCGAAGGCGGGUCUCUGGGAAAUAACUGACGCUGAGGAGCGAAAGCGUGGGUAGCGAACAGGAUUAGAUACCCUGGUAGUCCACGCCGUAAACGGUGGGCGCUAGGUGUGGGUUUCCUUCCACGGGAUCCGUGCCGUAGCUAACGCAUUAAGCGCCCCGCCUGGGGAGUACGGCCGCAAGGCUAAAACUUAAGAGUAGUGCGUGNGAGAGCGACGACGACGACGACGGAGGAG
rnacentral:rRNA from 1 species